rnacentral:lncRNA from 1 species
UUUACUGAUCCUACUUUUAACAAAUAAUUGAAUUAUGUGGCUUUCUUUUCCAUGCUUUCUGUAAUUUUUUUGCUUCACCUUGUUUUGUACUCUAAUUUUCAUUAAUCAAUUAUCAAUUGUGUUGAUGGUGCAGCACCAUCUGUUGGAGGAAAAUUAUAAUAAGAAAGUUGAACAUAUUUAAUACAACUCUUUCACUCUAGGAAGUCUUCCCUUUGGAAUCCUUCUGAUUCAGAUAGCACUACUGUUGUAAUCGAUUGAUUUAAGUCCAUUUAUUUAUGUAUUAGUUUCAUAUUUUUUAUUUGUUGGAAAAGCUUUACUAUUAUGGGGUAAAAACUGUCACAGGAUUGAAAUGGGAACAAAAUUCUUACAAGCAACCUUUGUUGGAUAUAUUGGUGAACUCUGAUUUUGUUUCCUUGCUUCUAUAAAUCCUAUUAUGUAAUGCAUAGUUUUGGUAAUUAUGACUAUUAAUUAACUGUUUUGACCUAUUGAUACUACUGGUUGCUAAGAGCGGCUACUGCUUCGUUUUUAAUGACUAAUUGUUGCAUAAUGUUCAGAUAAUGGGCUACCUUUCUGGUUCAUCUCCUCACAUAAAAAGUGGAGCAGUGUCUGUGCUAUCUGUACUGGUAUAUAAGGAUGCCAAUAUUUGUACUUCAGUACCUGAUCUGGUCCCUUCUGUUUUAGCUUUGCUGCAGGGGAAAGCUGUUGAAGUUGUAAAAGUGAGUCCCCGACUCAUAAUCCAGAUUGUUGUUUUGUAGUUACUCAUAAUGCUCAUGAGUCGAUUGUUACAUGUUAAACAGGCUGUUUUGGGCUUCGUGAAAGUAGUGGUAUCCUGCUUACAAGCUAGAGACCUGCAGAGUUUUCUUACUGAUGUACUCAAUGGUGUUCUCCCAUGGUCAUCUGUAUCAAGAAACCAUUUCAGAUCGAAGGCAUGUGCAAAUUUGCCUCAAUUCUUUUACCCUACACUUGCUCAUCUCUUUCUAUAUUUUGUUGCCUUAAGUAGUUUCUAUAAACAUGCAUGUCCACUGUAACUACAGGUUACAGUCAUACUGGAAAUUGUGGUAAGGAAGUGUGGUUCUGCUGCAGUCAAGUUGCUUACACCAGAGAAAUAUAAGGGUUUUGUCAAGACCGUUCUGGAGGUAAUAUUUCUUCCAAUCUUACCUCUUCUUUUGAAAAGACCAAAUAAUAAUGGGAAAAUAAAAAACUAUAAGGGUUGCCUGUUCUUUUUUUUUUUUUCUUUUUUUUUUAUUUAAUGCAAAAUUCCGAUUUACCAUGUCUACCUUAAUGCAGAAUCGGCAUAAUAGCAAGGGAAGUUCAAAGGAAGCUGAUGAUCCUGAAAAGGAAGAAAAACGUCCAAAUGCAUCUUCGAGGGGAUCUGAUUUUACAUCUUUGAGGCAGCAGAAGAGGGGACACAAAGAAUUGGGUUUUUCACCUAGAAAGAGGAAGAGGGAGAAGCAGCCAGAUGGCAUUGGCAGUGGCAUGAAAAGGGUUAAGAAGGCCAGGCAUUCAAAUUUUCGUAAUCAUGAAAAACAAACUGAAGGCCAGGCAAGAGGAAGUGUAAAGAAGAACAUGAAGAGGAGUUCGAGAAGAGAGGCUACCAGUAGAGGGGAUGGGGAGAGAAAGAAGAUGGCAUGGAAGAAGCAGAAGAAAAUUCAUAAAUGAGACUCUGAAAUGGCGAAUUUGUUUUCUCCCCUCUCCCCUCUCUCCUCACAUCAAUUUUUGCUUUACAGACAUCUUAACAGGGCCAUGGGACUUGGCCCUCCGAUGGAUUUAUUUAUUUUUUAUAUAUUAAUUUUAUACUCCAGUCAGUUAUGUAACAUCUAAAUGCCGCCACUUACUCCUAGUUAGUUUUGAGAUGAACUUCAC